GAUGAACGCUGGCGGCGUGCCUAAUACAUGCAAGUCGAGCGAACAGACGAGGAGCUUGCUCUUCUGACGUUAGCGGCGGACGGGUGAGUAACACGUGGAUAACCUACCUAUAAGACUGGGAUAACUUCGGGAAACCGGAGCUAAUACCGGAUAAUAUAUUGAACCGCAUGGUUCAAAAGUGAAAGACGGUUUUGCUGUCACUUAUAGAUGGAUCCGCGCUGCAUUAGCUAGUUGGUAAGGUAACGGCUUACCAAGGCAACGAUGCGUAGCCGACCUGAGAGGGUGAUCGGCCACACUGGAACUGAGACACGGUCCAGACUCCGACGGGAGGCAGCAGUAGGGAAUCUUCCGAGAUGGGCGAAAGCCUGACGGAGCAACGCCGCGUGAGUGAUGAAGGUCUUCGGAUCGUAAAACUCUGUUAGUAGGGAAGAACAAAUGUGUAAGUAACUAUGCACGUCUUGACGGUACCUAAUCAGAAAGCCACGGCUAACUACGUG
rnacentral:rRNA from 1 species